UGAGACACAGGGGACAAAAAAUUUAACAAAGUAUGCUUGGGACCUCCUUGCUGGCAUGCAGAAAAUUGAUUCGAAUUACUAUCCUGAGACAUUACAUCAGAUGUUCAUUGUUAAUGCUGGUACUGCUUUCAAGAUGGCUUGGAUGAGUGUAAAGAAAUUUCUUGAUCCAAAUACUAUGGAAAAGAUACAAGUGUUAGGAUCCAAAUUCCAGAGUAAAUUACUUGAAGUCAUUGACUCGAGG